rnacentral:rRNA from 1 species
ACGACGCUGGCGGCGUGCCUAACACAUGCAAGUCGAGCGAUGAAGCCCUUCGGGGUGAAUUAGCGGCGGACGGGUGAGUAACACGUGGGUAACCUGCCUUAUAGAGGGGGAUAGCCUUCCGAAAGGAAGAUUAAUACCGCAUGAAAUGUUUUUUAUCGCAUGGUAGAAACAUCAAAGGAGUAAUCCGCUAUAAGAUGGACCCGCGGCGCAUUAGCUAGUUGGUGAGGUAACGGCCCACCAAGGCGACGAUGCGUAGCCGACCUGAGAGGGUGAUCGGCCACAUUGGAACUGAGACACGGUCCAGACUCCUACGGGAGGCAGCAGUGGGGAAUAUUGCGCAAUGGGGGAAACCCUGACGCAGCAACGCCGCGUGAAUGAAGAAGGCCUUAGGGUUGUAAAGUUCUGUUUUCUGGGACGAUAAUGACGGUACCAGAGGAGGAAGCCACGGCUAACUACGUGCCAGCCGCCGC